UGAUGGAAAUUUUUCACUUUUCACGUUUUCACUUUAGAAAAAGUUACACAAUUGACCCCCAGUCUUAAAGCCUGAGCAGAAUGGCUGACUUAUAACCUUAAAACACUGUUUUAUGCCCUAAGUCUUUGUCUUAGGUAACGCACAAUACUGUGUUAAUGUUUCCUGUCUUGUGUAGUAUACGCGACGUUUUAAGGAAUAAACGUAAAACGUAUAUUAAAAUGAUGUAUAGAAAUAAGCAAUUUUUAUUGCUUGUUUUACAAUGGAUGCUUUUGUAUAAAUUAUUAAAACGAAAAAAAAAACAAAUUAGAUGGUAUAAAAGAAGAUGAUAUCUUGCCACUGGAGAUCUUCCUUUGUCUAUCGCUCUAUCAUUUCGAAUUGGUGAAUCAACAAUGCGUAUGUUAAUUAAAGAAGUAUGUCAGAUAUUAAUAAAUGUAUUACAACCACUGUAUCUAUCACAACCAAAUGAAGAAGAAUGGAAGUCGUAUGCUGAAGGAUUUUGGAAGAGGUGGAAUGUGCCAAAUUGCAUAGGGGCAGUAGACGGAAAACACAUUACCUUGCAAUGUCCCCCUAAUUCGGGAAGUCUUUUUUAUAAUUACAAAAAAUAUUAUAGUAUUGUUUUGAUGGCAGUGGCAAACCACGUAUAUAGAUUUACGUUAGUUGAUGUUGGUGCAUACGGUGGUAACAGCGAUGGCGGAAUUUUUAACGAUUCAUUAAUUGGGGAAAAUUUAAAAAAUGAAAACUUAAAUCUACCAAAGGAAACAUUCAAAUUACCUGGAAGUCAAAUCUGUACACCAACUUUUUUAUUGGCAGACGAUGCUUUUGCAUUAAAUACGAGAAUUAUGAAGCCAUAUACCGGAAGAAAUUUAAAUGAAGAACAAAAAAUAUGCAAUUAUAGAUUUUCUCGAGCUAGGCGAACAGUCGAAAGCGCCUUUGAAUAUUUUCUAAUAUAAUAGAUGGAGAAUAUUUCGACAAUCCAUUUGUAUGCUGCCAAAAACAGCCGAUUUGAUAACAACAGCAUCGCUCUGCUUACAUAAUUUUGUAAUGGUUGAAGAAGAACGCUGUAAACUAAAGUUAUACAGCACAACUGAAUUUCUUGAAAACGAUAGAAAUAAUCAGGAUAUGCAGUGGUUGUCUUUUUCGGAAAACCUAUGUUAUAAUGAACCCGUAUCUUCUGCUUCGAAACAAAGAGACACAUUGUGUAAAUAUUUCAUAUCACCUGAAGGAGAAGUACCGUGGCAAUACGAUUACGUGCGAAGAGGUACAUAUGGUGAAAAUAUUUAAUAAUAUAAAAAUAAUGGUUUCUAUACACAUACAUUUAA